ACUUCUUUUUCUCUCUCUAAACUCUUUCAACUUCACUCUCCCUCUCUUCCUCCUACAAUUUCGCCCAAAUUUAUCCCAAAUUAUCACAUUCUUCAUCAAAUUCAUGCUAUUUUACAUCAUAUAGUCGAUACCGAAUUUUCCAGAUUCUGUGUUAAUUCAAAGCAAUCUCUUAUACGGAGUACUAUAUUUCUUGUUCUAAAACACAAGAAAAUGAGGGCCAAAAGGGCUUCCCCUCACAGGGAACUUUACACCAAUUUGACCCCUCAAAAGUCAAAACCUCACAUCUACUUUGCUAAGCUAGGCAAGAUCUGCAGCUCGAUCAUGAAUUUGCGAUAUGGAAGCGUACAGGCUUUGGUGGUUCAAUCUGCGAAGAUGGCAAAAGAGGUCCUUCAAACACAGGAUCUAAACUUUUGUUACAGACCACCAACGUUACUAAGUUUGGGACGCAAAUACUAAGUUAUAAUGGGUUACACAUAACGUUUUUUCAUAGAUUUCACUACUUUAGAGAGAUUAUGAAGGUUUGUGUUGUUCAUCUCUUUAGUUCAAAAAAGGCCGAGUCUUUUGUUCCAAUUUGACACGAAGAAGUCAUGAGGAUGAUAAACAAGAUAUCUGCCCCGCCCUCUGCUUCGGAAAUUGUUAACUUGAGUGACUUGCUUAUAACUUUUGCUAGCUCCAAUAUAUGCAGAAUUGCUUUUGGCGACAGGUAUGGUAGCGAUGAUGAAGGGUGUCACAGGCUUCUAAGUGAAGCUUAGGCUAUGUUCGCCACCUUCUUGUCAAGUUGUAAUAUUUGACAGGGUAACUAGUUGCGUAGCUACUUGACAAGUUGUAAUAUUUGGCAGGGUGCGUAUGUUCUAAUUAUUGUUUCAUAUGUUGUAAUUAUUGUUGCAUAUGUUCUAAUUGUUUUAUUUUCUAUAGAUAGUACUACAUGCAUUGUUUUCUUGAA